UACGUAGGUGGCAAGCGUUGUUCGGAAUUAUUGGGCGUAAAGCGCGCGCAGGCGGCUUCUUAAGUCUGAUGUGAAAGCUCCCGGCUCAACCGUGGAGGGUCAUUGGAAACUGGGGGACUUGAGUGCAGAAGAGGAGAGCGGAAUUCCACGUGUAGCGGUGAAAUGCGUAGAGAUGUGGAGGAACACCAGUGGCGAAGGCGGCUCUCUGGUCUGUAACUGACGCUGAGGCGCGAAAGCGUGGGGAGCAAACAGG
rnacentral:rRNA from 1 species